rnacentral:rRNA from 1 species
GACGAACGCUGGCGGCGUGCUUAACACAUGCAAGUCGAACGGAAAGGCCCUGCUUUUGUGGGGUGCUCGAGUGGCGAACGGGUGAGUAACACGUGAGUAACCUGCCCUUGACUUUGGGAUAACUUCAGGAAACUGGGGCUAAUACCGGAUAGGAGCUCCUGCUGCAUGGUGGGGGUUGGAAAGUUUCGGCGGUUGGGGAUGGACUCGCGGCUUAUCAGCUUGUUGGUGGGGUAGUGGCUUACCAAGGCUUUGACGGGUAGCCGGCCUGGGAGGGUGACCGGCCACAUUGGGACUGAGAUACGGCCCAGACUCGUACGGGAGGCAGCAGUGGGGAAUAUUGCACAAUGGGCGGAAGCCUGAUGCAGAAACGCCGCGUGCGGGAUGACGGCCUUCGGGUUGUAAACCGCUUUCGCCUGUGACGAAGCGUGAGUGACGGUAAUGGGUAAAGAAGCACCGGCUAACUACGCG